rnacentral:tRNA from 1 species
GGGAAUGUGGCUCAGUGGUAGAGCACUUGCCUAGCAUGCAUAAAGCCCUGGGUUUGAUUCCUCAGUACCA